AAAGAAAUGCAUGACUGUGUGUAUUUUUUUUAUAAUCACAAUGAAAUACUGAAACACUGUUUUGGAGAUUACAUUGUGUUUAUUUCUCACUUCUUUAAUGUUGUUCUGAAUCUUUUAAUCCUUUCAAGUUUGCUUCCGUAAAUACUUGUGUGCUGGACCAGAUGAAAACAUACACAUGAAGUUUAAGAAUAGGCAAAACUAAUCCAUAGUGAUAGAAGAAUUCAUAACAAUGAUUGCCUCUGAACAUCCAUGUGCAUGAAAAGGACUGAAAAGAGGCAAGAGAAACUUUGGGGGGCAGGUGAUGGGCUUAUUGUAUAUCUUGUUUUGAGUGGUGCUCACAGGGAUGUAUACAUUUGUCAAAAUUUUUGAACUGAAAAUUUAAAAUCUGUGCACUUUACUGUAUGUUAAUGAUCUCUCAACAAAACAUACAAAUGCAUAAAAAAGAAGUAUUUGAUCACAGAAAUUCUGAGAUGCACUGCUGUUCUGGUUAAUUCAAUGUUCAGCUACUUGUGUCUGGGGCUAUAUGUCAUGUGUUUGUCAGACAUUCUAUUGAAAGCUUCCUUUACAUAUAAAAUUAACUUCAAACAAAAGGGCAGCUCCCUUCAUAUUUUGCCACAUAACUUUUUGUUGUUGUUUUCAGUGAUAUACUUUCCAAGCUCUUGGUUAUUCAGUCUCAAAUGUGACCCUGUGUGGAACCCUUUCCCUCUAGAAAUCUUUGCUUCUAGUGCUUGUCAGCAGUGUGCACUGCCCUCGGGGUCUUGUGAGUCUCUUCUUCAUUGAUUGUCCCUCCCAGCAGAAGGUUCACCUGAAGGCUGGGCCUGUGUUUGAGUUCUCAUAGUAUCCCUAACAGCCAGAACAGUCUGGUAUGCCGGAAGAGCAGCACAGCCAAUGAUCAUUAUAUGAGCAGAAAACUAUAUGCUUAAAUAACUAAUUAAGUCAGAGGAUGGUCUCUGCUUUCGAGAAGCUUACAAAAAAACAUAUCUGGGAAGGUGGCUAUUUACAUGGUUUAUUCUGAUGUGGCUUUGUAAGAAGCUGCAUUUCCCUCCCCAUAAAUUGCUCUUAUUACCCUGUUCCCCACUUCUCCAACUUGUCAUGGACCUCUUUAUCAUAAGUGAAAAUAGACCAGGAACCAAAGGUAGGGACACUUUCUCCAGGGGGCCCCAGAAGAAAUGCAUCUAUGCACUGCAGUUGUCCUUAGUUAUCUUCCAUUUUUAUAUAAGUUAUCAUGAAAAUGUAGUUAAUGUAUAUAUAGAGAUCAGAUAGUACGAAAUACAAGACAUGGAAGCAGUUUAAAGCUAAGGAUCUCUUCUUGAUCAUAUGCAAGAGGCAAAUUUAGAACAAAAAUACCUUCAAAGGGUGAUAUGCACUGCUGAACAUAUUGGUUUUGGAAAGGUCCCCUGCCUUGGCAAAGGACCCACACUGAGUUAAUGAAAGGCACUUGAAUGCCUGAAGAGUCUCAAACAUCUCUCACCAGGAGGUUCACAGGUGACAGAUUUAAGGAAACAGCUAGGACCUGCUAUAUACCCUUUCAGUACACAAGCCUCUGAAUAAAAUAAAUACUUGCUGUAUAGCUGAGUUGGUGAAUAUAUAAAUGUUUUCUAAUGGUACGAAUUUUUGGUAAAAAUGUAAGACUGCAGAUCACUGAAGCAGCCCCUUUAUGGAAACCUAGGACCUUGAAGGAUAGUUUGCUCUUAAAGGCUAUUAUGAACUUAUCCUCCUCAUGAUUGUUCUGGCUCUCAGCUCCAUAAAACCUGCAAUAACUGCUGUUUUAUGACUUACGCCUGGUCAUAACACAAAAGAUUGAUUGGGGCUCCCAUCCUACAAGGAGGGAAGACAGCACUUUCAAAUAUAUGACUUCCCAAUAGAUUUUUCAUGAGAUGAGCCAAAAAUGCUUCUUCAAGAUUCAUGCAGGCAAAUGUGGUCAGUGUUCAAGUCUGUAAAUAAUAUACCCAAUCUUUAAAUCGUACACUCUGACCCUGUUGAGUUUGUGGUAUCCUUAUUAGGGCUAAUAAUGUGUUCGAAGAAUGAACUAUGCUUUAAAAAAUCAGAUUGAAAUCUUGUAGGGAAAAAUACUGCUCCUUCUUUAUAUUUUUCCAUUUCCCUCUCUCCUCUCCCCACUCUCCACCCAGUUCAGGAAAAAUUCUCUUAAAUCAACCUGAUAUUUUCAUGGCUAGCAUAAGCUGUUGACAGUUUUAUGCAACUAAUAAAGGAGAUUAAAACAUAAACUCUGUAACUUUCUGUAUUCUGAAAUCUAAUGCAAAAAAUAAAAGCCCUCUUGUGUGGGACAUGUUAAAUGUUGCCUUGUCGGAAGGUGCUGGAAAUAUGAUAGGAAAAAAUGACUUUCUUAUAUCUAAAUGGCAUUUGAAAGAACAAAAAUCAGGGGCUGUUAAUGUAGCUAGAUGUUGGGAUUCAGGUAAUAUGGCCUGUAAUUCAUUCUGACUGACAGCUGUGAGAAGAGAUCAGAGUAAGGCUAACCAAAAUACCAUCUCUUGAAAAAAAAAUCAGCUUCAAAACUGAUCCUUCACACAUCAACCUGAUUUCUCCGAGGGGACUCUUUUCCAGCUAAAUGCUAAAUUUAAUUUCAUACAUCACAUUUCUUUGGAUAGAUUUAGUACUUUAAUUAUAUUUUUUAUGUGUCACAGAACUGUAAACAUAAAUUAUCCCUUUGUUUUCUUUAUCUAUAAAAGAGAGCUUAGAAAAAUAAUAAUAAUUAAGCGUGUAUAGGAUUCUUUGUGACUUUUAAUUCUCUGUGUGGAAGGGACAUAGUUCUCUGUAUGUAUGGCUGAGAAGCCUUCUGGCCAUACCUCCUGGACAUCUCAGCAAUGACUGCAAAGUCUAAAAGUCACUCAAUCAGCUAUUUGUUUUGCCUACUGAGAUAAUGAUUGUUUUUACAUUUUUCUUUUUCUUCCUGAAAUGUUUUGAGCUCAGCAUUUCUUUCUACGUUGUAGAGAUGUUGCUUAGCUGCAGUAUAGGUGAGAGGAAAAUCAUUAAAAUAUUUUCUUAAUAUCUAAAAUAUUUUAAUUGGAACAUUGUGAUUUAGACUGCCCCAAAUCCUUUUGACCCAAAUGUUGAAAUCAAUAGUGUUGGAUUAUAUAGUAUAGGCAGAGUUAGUAAUACAACAGAACUAUCUGUGCAUUUCAUUGCAUAUCAAUACCUCAUGGAGUGGGGUGAGAUAUUUUAAAAUCAAUUGGACAUUUUAAAAAAUCCUCUGAAAAAUCCUGUCUCCUAAAUAUAUACAGAGCCUCUUAAAAUGGUGAAGCUUGCCUGAAAACUGUGCUACAUAAAGACCUACCUCUUCCCAGCCUGCAUCUGGUCUGUAGAAUAUGCCAACAAUGCUUAAUAUAAUGGGUCACGUCUGUCAAGGAAUAUUACAAAUUGUACCUGUGAUGCUCUGUAAUUAGCAACCCUCAAAUGGUUCCAGCUGCUAUUUCCCUGAGCAUUUGCUUUGGUAACAUCUUAUAUGAAAUCUAGCUCAGAAUCAAGAGUACUUAGGUCCAAAGGUCACUAUCAGUGGUGAAAUGGGAUCAUGUUCUUCUAAUCAAAAAAAUCCUUUUCUUUUCUUGUCCCUGAGUUUACUAGAGGGUCUUUCAUGCAGAAACCAGUGUGGAAUGUUCAGCUUGUUGAGGAGAGAUUUGGUUGUUGACUUUGUUUCUGAGCAGAAUUCUCUGAAGAAGUCUGUGGAAAGUAAAUAUGUCUGUUUUCCGUGUGGGAGGAUGAUGUGAGAAUGAACGUCUGUGACUGGAGACUUCACACUGGGAAGUUGACCUUUUGCUUGCAAAGGAGAUUUGCUAUUUGGUUGGCUCAUGGGUACAUCUGCAAAUGCUGGCAUGCUGGGUUGUGUUUACAGAUCACAAUCCAUCACUUGCUGAAACCUAAGUACAGUAAGGAAAAUGUAGUUUAAAAAGAAAUCAUUAGUUUGUGUUUCGUACAGUCUUUCCUGAAUUUAUUUGGGUGAGUUUUUGGUGGAAUUUCACUGUCUUAUAAAUGGCUGUUUAAUAUGAAUAAACUAAAACCAGGCCCUUACCUUAUGCUAAACAAUAAAAAUUAGGUGAUUUAAAAUUGAAGUGUAAAAAUGAAAUUAUAAAAUAAUGAAAAAGAAAAUACAGAUAUUUAGUUUACUUUUAUACUCUGUGCUAAGCAACAUCUUUCUAAGCAUAAGGGCAAAAGGACAAACUGGGAAGGAAAAGAUUGAUUGAUGUUACAAAAACAAGCAGACAUAUCGAACCUCUUUUGAACAUUUGAUAUCCACAGUAAACAAAAAAUGGAAAACAGCAAAUGGGAAAAUGUUUGCAACAGAUAUUAAAUAUAAUAUUUAACACAGUUCUUACAAGUGAAUUAAAACAUAUGAAAACACAAGUAGGAAAAUGAACAAAGUAUGUAAAUGAUUAAUUAACAAAGGAAGAAAUAAAAAUAACCAACAAAUAUAUGAGAAAAUAUCUUCAUUAUCAGUCAAACAAACUCAAACUAAAUCCAUCCAUCACAUUAGCAAAAUUUUAAAGGAUUGAUAAUAACUUGUGUUAACAAAGGUUUAGGAAAACUGAGCUUUAAUAUUCUAAAGUUGGAAUGUAAAUAGGUAAAUUUCUUUAUGUGGUAACAUGAAACUAUGUAUCCAAAUCUCCAAAAAUAUGCAAUUCCACUUGAAAGAAGUUACCCUAAGGAAACAAAGAUGUGUAGAAAACAGUGUCCAUAAGAAAUGUUUAUUGAAACACUGUUUUAAUGUUGGAAAAUUAUAAGAAAAAGACAGUAGGAGAGUGGCUAGAUUAUUCUCAUAGGCUGAGAAAUUGUACAAUUAUAUAAAAUCAUAUUGCAAUGGAAUAUUUAUUGACCUAGAAAAGCAACCAUAAUGUGUACUAUGUUUUAAAUUUUUUUUAAAGUAGCAAAAAAUAUGGAUACUAUAUUCUGAGAGAAGACAGAGAGAGACAGAGACAGAGAGAGAGAGACAGAGUUAUAGACAGACAUAGAAAACUACAAGUAAUUAUUCUAAAAUAGAUAUCUAUGUGUUGUGAGAUUAUAGGCAUUUUUCCCUUUUCCUCUGAAAUGUAUUAGUUUUGAAAUUAGGAAGUAGAAACACUAUAAUUAUCUAUGAAAAAAGAUAAAUUCUAUUAAAAAGAAAUAUCAGCCUAGUUACAGAGAAGUAUUGGCAAUAAUGAGAUUGCCUUUGGAGCCCCACUGCCAAUUUUGUGUAUUUUCAUUUCACUUAUCACGUUCUAGAGACUUCCAGAGUCCUCAGUGUUUUUAUUCACACAUCCAUCCAUUCAUUCACCCAUUCUUUCCUCCAUUUAACAAACACUUGUUGCAUUCAUACAAUGUGCCAGGCUCAGUUGUCUGUGGCUAAUGUUCUAUUCUGUAAAUAUUUUCUUGUUGUCUCUUAUUUACACUCACCAGUCUUGGGAGCCUUUCCUUCAGACUUUAUUAGGUGACUGUGACAUUGGUGUGCUACUUGAACUUUAAGGGGAAAUUUUAAAUGUCUUUGCUGAAAAGAGUAUGUGAAUAUUGCAGGCAAUUUUAUAUAGAUGCGUCUGCUGAAUUAUGCCACUUUCCCUUGUCUAUAUCCAAUCAAACUGAACAGCAUGUGUCCAACUAUGUUCCACUUUGCAAGGCCUGGCUUCCUUGUUUUAGAAUCAAUACCGUAGCCUGAUUCUCCAUCAUCAAUUGCUUCUGGAUGUUAGUAAUACGUAUCAGUUCUAAUUUGUUGGUCCUGACUUCCUGCUCCUAUGGUUUUCCUACUUCCUACUAUUGGCCCUAUUUUGCCUUCUGGCAUUUACAUCCUUCUAGUCUAUGGCCUGCUGUUUUGACUCUGACUGCCACACUGAUGCUGAUCCAAACAUCGGCUUAACUUUCUUCAAUACUCAUAUAAGUUUUCUAUCACUGCUGUAACAAAUUCCCACAAAUUUAGGGACUUAAAACAAUAGAAAUCUAUUUUCCAGUUCUGGAGAGCAGAAGCCUGCCAUGGAUUUCACUGGGCUAAAAUCAAGGUGGGGAUGGGGCUGCAUUUUUUUCUGUAUGUUCUACGGGAGAAUAUGUUUCCUUGCCUCUUUCAGCAUUGUCACAUGAUUUGUAGCUCCUCAGCAACACUGCAUCUAUCUGACUCUUCUCUAGUCACAACUUCCUCUGAACAUAGGAAAGAUUGUCUGCUUCUGAGAACCUGUAGUUGGUUAAAUUGUAGCACCUUAAAAAUAUAUCCGCAUCCUAAUCCUCAGAACCUAUGAAUGUUACAUUUUUCUAAAAAUAGUUUUUGUAGUUUGAAUUGGAUCUUCAGAUGAAGAGAUCAACCAGGAUUAUCUGGCUGAGCUCUAAAUUUAAUUAUAGCUGUCUUUACAAAAAAAAGAAGAUGGAGAUUUGAGAGAAAACACAGAGAAUAGGAGGCACUAUGAUCAUAGAGGAGGGAUUGGAAUAAUGAAGCUACAAAUCAAAGGAUACCUAGAGCCACCACAAGCUGGAAAAGGUAAGGAAGGUGUCUCCUAAGAGCCUCUAGAGGCAGUGCAGCCCUGCUGACACAGUGAUUUCAGACUUGGAGCCUCCAGAAUGUGAAAGAAUAAAUUCCUGUUGCUUAAAGGCACCCAGUUUGUGGUAAUUUGUUAUUGAAGCCACAAGAAACUAAUAUAAGACCCAUGUGAUAACAGAGUGCUCCCAGAUAAUCUAGGAUAAUCUUCCUAUCUCAAAUUCUUUAACCUCAAUAAUAUCUGAAAAUCCCCCUUAUCAUGUAAGAUAUAUUUAUGUGUUCCAGGAGUUACGGGGCCAUUAUUCUGCCUACUAUAGUACCUGAGUUAACUUCAUCCAUAAAAAACAUUUCUAACUCUCAGGCUUUUUUUUUUUUUUUGGUACCAGGGAUUGCUUGGGACCUUGCUCUUGUGAGGUAGGUGGCAGAACCACUGAGCUAAAUCCCUGGCCCUUCAGGCUAUCUUUUAUGUUUUACUUUCAUCCUUACUUGUCUAGGAUCUGUUUCUUGGAUGUCAGUAUUAAAUAGCAAAGAAGGCACAAACAUAGAAUCAAAUAGACUUGUGUUGAAACUCUAUUUUCUGUGUAUUCUUGAGCAAUUCAUUCAACUUCAAUGAAUUUGUUUGCCCAUCUGUAAAAUCUGUGAGUAGUCAUAUGUACUCCAUAGUCACUCUGAGGAUUAAAUGAGAUGGUAUUUAUAUAUAACAGGCCUGGCACAUAGUCAUUCAAUGGGUAUUGCUUUUCUUUUCCUAUCAUCCUAUAAUCUGUUAACCUGUAAUUAUCUAUUAUAUUGAAAUAGAUUGUCUUGUAGAGGAGAUAUUUUUUAUAUAGGGGCUUUCUAAAUUUCCUUCAAAUCUCACUGGAUAAACAGAUUUCUUUUCUUUUUAAAUCUCUCAGCUUUAUUAAGGUGUGGUUAGCAAAUAAAAAUUGUAUAUGGGGUGAGGUAUGGCUUAGUAGUAAAGUGCUCACCUAGUAUGUCCAAGGCUCUAGGUUCUAUUCCCUGCACCAGAUAAAGUCAUAUACUAUUACUGUAUAGAUAGCUUUCAAAUCUGAUUAUAUAUAAAAUUUCCCAUUGUCAUUGUAUUUUAUUUUGUACCAUGAUUUUACCUUUGUAACACUAAUGUUUCUGCUUUAAAGGCGAAAAUUAUUAUGAAACUGAUUGCUGGAAAUAAUACAGGCAUAUCAAAUUUUUAUUACAUGCUUACUAUGUGUUUAGUGUUGAAGGGGCUAGAGAAUGAAAUUGACACAGUGCCUAUGUUUGUUGAGUGGGGAACACUGACCAGUGAUUGAAUAAUUCUAUUAUAGUGUGAUUAGUGUCAUGAUGAGCAUGGUGGGGGGUUCUUAGAGAUGGGAUAGAAGGAAAUAAAGACUCUUUAGAGUAAAUGCUAAGUUGAGAGCUGAAGGAUUAAUAGAAAUUAAUUAUGUAGAGCCUCUCUUACUUUCAACAAAAACAAAAGGAAAAAAUAAAAAUGAAAUCUUGUUUGUAAUUCAAUUGACUUAAACAUUAAUUUUAGUUAAAAAUUGUGAGUAUAUAAACGUAGGUACAGGAGAUCAUCCUGCUAGGAAUGACUAACCGGAGGGGGCCAAUGGAGAUUAAAGAUACAGACAGAGAUAAUUUAGAAUGAGGGUACCAGGGGGCUCUUGCCUCUAGUGGACAAAGAGCCCUGAGCAUUUGGCUCGUCUCACUUUCAUUCACUUAGACAUGGGAGCAAGUAAUUAGCUUAAGAGACGAUUCAUCUGCCUCUUGUUAUCUAUAGCAUGUACCCAGGUAAACACCCAGAUCUCAGCUUAUUGACUCUUUUUUGGAACUUGCAACAUGCUAGCAUGCCUGCACAUUGCCAAAGGAGGCGCAGCUUGCUGUUUUUCUCUUUUGUACUUGUAGAGAAGGUCAAUUCGGCCUCGAUCCUCAUUAUCUGGUCUCUUACACACAGCCAUUCUUGUUUUUGUUUUAAAAUCUUUUUGGAUAUAGUUGCCCUACUAACAUCAGAAGAAUGGUCCCUUGAUAGGCUUCCUUCAGGUUAUUUGAAGAAAAAGUGAGCUUUUAUCAACGUUUUGCACACAGGACUCCAAUGGGUAGGCAGGCAGUUAGUCAAGAUGUAAAUAACACACCAUGAAUGCCCUUAAAUUUAAAUCCCUGAUUUAGGGAAGAGGGUGGCUGUAGACAGGGAUAUGAUCAUAGCAAAAUGUUCAGUAGGGAGUGGUGUCAAAAUAUAGUUGAUGGUCUCCGGGAAUAAUAAUGGUAACAAGAUAUUAUACAUUUACUUAUGUGCCAUUACCGUUCAAAGCAUUUUUUUUGUAUCUUAAUUCAUUUAACCCUUCCAAUGAGUCUGUGGAAUAGGUAAUACUACUAUCCUUGUUUUAUAGACAGGAAAGCUGAAAUACAGAGGUCAAAUUAUAGUGUCUAAAUUUAGAUAGGCAACAAGUGAUAGGGCCAGAAUCCCAGAAAUGACAAGUUACCUGAAAGCUUGUGGUCUUAACCGCUAAGUGAGUAUUCUCCUACCUCUUGGAGAAAGAAGGGCUGUGUGAAACUGUAAACAUAGAAAUGAUGUUUGAGAACAGAAAACAAGCAAAUGUUAUGACUGUAUGGCCAUAUAUCCAUUAAGUGCCAAGAGAUUGGCUGAAUGAGUGAUUACUAACCCUAGGGUUGGGAUAGGGCUGAAUUAUUUGAUCAAGAAGGUUUACAGAAAAAGAAAUCUUAAGCAGUGUUUAUUAAGAGAGCAAUGUAAUAAUUAUAAAACUAUUACUAGUUAAUAUUUUGCGCUCCUACUAUGUACCAGUAAAUACCUAAUCUAAUUCAAUACUCAUAACAACCUAUGAGGUAGGUACUAUUAUGUAGAUCUCUCAGUAUAUCUGAGGGAUUAGUUCUAGGACUCCCCCUCACAUAAAUAUCAAAACCUGCACAUGGUCAAGUCCCUUUUAUAAAAUGGCAUAGUAUUUGCAGAUAACCUAUACAAUCCUCUUAUAUACUUUUAAGUCAUCUGUAGACUAUUUACAACACAAAUUACAGUGUAAAUGCUAUAUAAUUGCUAUACUCUAUUGCUUAGAGAGUAAUGGCAAGAAAAAAAGGGCACAUGUUCAGUAGAGAAGCAAUUUUUGUAAUGUUUUCCAUCUGCAGUUGGUUGAAUCCAUGGAUGUGGUGCCUGUAAACACAGAGACCUGACAAUAUUUCUACUCUUAGAUGCAGAAACUGAGAAAGUUUCACAGCUCAGAAGUAUUGAAGCCAGGUUUUGAAUCAAGGCAGUCUGACUCUUAAAUACAUUGAAUUGUUCCAGAAUUGUUUCAGAAACUCCUGUCUCUCAUGGAUUAACAAUUUUUUGCUCUUUGCUGAAUUAUUCCCAUCAGCCUUCCAACAUACUCUGAUCAUUUGUAUUAUAUUUAAAAACUCAAGUUUUCUAUCUCUCAAUCCAGCAAAACUUUUCGAAAUACUUUGGUUUAUAUACUGUUCUAUUUUUUCUUGAUCCACUCCAUUCAGGCUUUUGCCCCUCCCACUUGACUGAAAUUGCUCUUCUGAAGGUCACCAAUGACCUCCUCAUUUCUAAAUGCAAAGGUCAAUUCUUGGUUCUCAUUUUACUUGACCUUUUAUCACUAUUUCAUAUAGCAUGAACAUCUCACCUGGUUUUUCAUCUCUCAGGUGGCUCCAGUUUCCUUUUUCUGGUUCUCCUUUAUAUCCCUCAAGUUUCUUGUCAGAAUCCCAGGCUAUUUCUCACUUCUACUCAGUCACUCCCUCAGUGACAUCAUCCUGUCUUGUGACAUUAUGCUAUUGAACCCCAGAUUUAUAUCUGUAGUCCAAAUCUUUCUUCCAAACUCACUUCUGUAUAUCCAAUGGCUUACUUGUAGUUUAAUUUUAUGUCUAAUAGGAAUCUUAAAUUUAAUAUGCCCCAAAGUAAAAUAUUGCUGUUUUCCCCCACAAUCUUGUCCAUCUCAAUUAGUGUCCAUUCUGUCUAGGCAAAUAUUUUGUCAUUAUCUUUGACUCUUCCCUUUUUCUCACCCCACCCCUAUCCUGCCUCAGUCUAAGAUGAACCUUAAUUGUUUGAGCUUCAAAACUAUUUAGAAUCUAACCACUUUAAUCAAUUUUAUGGCAAUCACAAUGACAUCCUUGAAUUACUGCAAUGACAUCUUAACUAGUCUCCUUUAUUCCACCCUUACUUCUCCAACAUAGAAUAGCCGGAGUUGUCUUAAAACCUAAGUCAGAUCAUGCCACUUUGUUCUCACAACUCUCCAGUGGCUUCUCAUCUCACUAUAAGCAAAAGUUAAUGGCUACAUAAUGGUCCCAGUGGUUUUUAAACCAUCAUUAUACAUUAGAAUCACCCGGCAAACAACUUUUUAAAAUACCAACAUCUGGGCCCCACAGCCAAAUAAAUUGAAUUUAAAUGCCUAGGUGGGAUAAUAUAUAGCCCAGGAAACGCAGUUUUUAAAAUUUCUUCAGGUGAUUCUGAGACUCAAGAAGGGUUGAGAAUUCUUGGCCUCGUUGUCCUGUGAGUUUAUCUUAUGACCUCACUUAGUCUACUGCAGUCACAUUGACCUUCUGCUGGAAGAAACCAGGCAUGUUCUUCGCUUGGAGGCUUGGCAUUAGAUCCUUCCCCUGCCUUGUAUGUCCAUCCCUAUUUCUCAGCAUGGGUCACUCCUUCCUUCUUCAAGUCCCUCAGUAUGGUUUCUCUGUGAGGCCUUCCCUGGUUCCCCAUUUAAAAGUGCAUUCAUCUUUUCUGCUUUAUUUUCGUCUAUGAUUUUUAUUAUCUUAAAUUGUUUCACUUCUUUUAGUGCCUACUUCCCUUAGCUAGAAUGUAAGCUCUCUAAAGGUAGGGAUGGAUUUGUUGUGCUUAUUGCUACUUUCCCAAUGUCUGGUGCAUUGUAUCCAUUUAAUAAGUAAUUGUUGAGUAAAUUAUUUAACAAAAUAACACAUAAUAAAGUGAAGUUAGAUUAAAAAUUAGACAAGCAAAAUGAAGAGCUAAAGGAAACUUAAAUGCAUUUGCUGAGGACAAAGUGCCCAUAAACCAAAUCUGUAGGCACACUAAUGGAAGUUAAGAUUUAUUAUCAAGCUAGCAGGGGAGGUCUUAGCUUCUAUUUUGUUUUUUUUUGUCAGUCUGGUGAAGCUUAUGGAACUCUUCUCAGAAUAAUUGUUUUUAGUGAAUAAGAGGAAAUCCAUAGAAUUUAAGAGGAAGCUAAUUAUUCUGAAAUAAAGUUUGAAAACAUUUUAAAAAGUUUUUAAUGUAGUAAUACUAUAUACAUCCCUUUAUGUUAACAUUAAAUUGGAGUUUGGUAAAUAUUUCUCUAUAAGGUCUAGAGAAGAAAGUAUUUUUGACUCUGAGAACAAUGAAAUCUGUUGGAACUACUCAGCUCUGCCAUUUUAACAAGCAAAUAGAUGCAGACAAUACAUAUGUGAAUUAGCCUGGCUAUCUUACAGCAAAAAAUUUACUUACAAAAGCAAGCAGCAGUCAUGGUUUGCCAAAUAAUAUCUACUGGUGGCUCUAAUAACUAUCAUACUUUUGAUGUGGCAGUGAGCAUAAAUUAUAUUUUGAGUAUCCACCACCCUUACAGUAUGAUAUGCAAAUUUUGGUGAUUUUUGUUGGUAACAAAGUCAUAGAUACCGCUGAUGUCAACUAUGAUUUGUAUAUUCACAGUUGAGGGAAAUGCUAAAUUAUAGUUACAGGUCAGUAAAAUAAAGAUGUAAUUUUUCACAUCCAAAUUCACAGUUCUCCUGAACUCUAUCCAUACCCCCACAACAAGACUAUGCUGAACUAGGAGUGUUGAUAUCCCGUUCAAAAUACAUUUGUUAGCAAUUGAAUAAAGAGUUAGCUCAGGAUGAAUGACAAGUCUUUCUGAAUUUGGAAUAUACGCAGACCCUGUUCACACAGUUUUGUGGUUAUGGUGUGGGACAAUUGCCAGAACUGACCUCCCUAAUGUCUCAUAGCUCCUAGUAAAGGGUGUCAGGAUCUGUUACACAACAGAAACAAGUCUAGAAGGAAGCAAAGAGGGUUGAAUACAAUUCUUUGGAGCAAAAAAAAAAAAAAAAGAAUUAGCAGACAGGGAUCUUCCAUCAGUCUUAAAUUCUGAGGAAGUUGCAUAACCAUAUUGCACUGCCAAGAUUUGAAGGCUUUGACAAGACUAGUUUUGCUGUAUACAUACAUACAAUGAAAAAGAAAUUACGAGGAGAAGCAGUGGAAGACCCAUGACCUUGGGUGGAUUCCUUCCCUAUGAUUCAUGCAUUAUUCAAAAGACUCCACUACCUUAGAAUUCCCAAGAAAAAUUUAAACAUCCCAGCAAUAACUUUUAAACAUCACAGUUUUCACUAGCAUUGCCUUAUAUCCAAUUCAGCUUUAUAAUGCAGUUCCAGUGUAAUUAUAGCUAUUACGCUGAUUGGGUCAGAGGAUCUAUGUGGAUUUCUAAAGAGAUCUAAACAAGAAGUUUUUCAGGACUCAGAAACUUAGUGUUCCUUUAAAGUGGUAGUUAAAAGAAAAAAAAAGCCUGAUAUUUUGAAUUUAUGGCAAUAAUAGAAAAAUUGCUAGGUACUUUUGAUGAAGGAGUUUAAAGUGAAUGUAACACUGCAUAUAUUGACUUCAUAUUUCAAUGAACACUCAGAUUUAUUGAUUAGAGAAGGACUGACUCAAGCCAAGAUUGAAUUGAUAGAAAUCACAGUCUGCUUAUUUAUCAUGUGGAGAAAAUUUACACAUCUACCUAGGGAUAGUGGUAUUACUUUAUUGACUCUGAAUUAAGUCUUGGCUGAGUGUCAAGUUUUCACCUGCAGUCUGCAAAUUUCUUUUGGGAAAAUUCUGGUUUGCAUAUGAGCAAGAAACCAUGAACAGAGUGAUUUGGUAAUUUAAAUGUUCAGAACUACUUUGAAAAAUCAAAUAUUGUAAAACCUUUUUAACUGGCAUUUGUGGUGAUACUAAUAUUGUUGACCAAAUGAAGUUCUUUUCAUUCUACUUAUGAACAAAGCAAAGGAUAAUAUUAACAAGAAGACAAAGUUUCAAGGACUUUUUAGAUAUGUCUAUUCAUAAAUAAAUAUUUAGUAUGUCAAUUAGAAAUCAGUCUCUUUAGUAAGGCAGGAUAUUAAGGUAAGUAGUUAAGGAACAAGCAUUCAAAUGCAGACUCCUAAAUACUUUGCUUAGAAGAAUUUUGUUAGGUUAAUAGUAAUUUAGCUAACAUUUAUGAAGCAUUUAUAAUGUGCCAAGAUUAUGCUAUGACUUUUCAUAGGUGGUCUUUUAAAUCAUUUACAAAAACCAUAUUCAGUAGCUGUUGGUAUUGUUAUAAUUUUACCUUUGAGAAAAGUGAUGUUCAGAGAGGCAAAGUGACUUGCCAGAGGUCUCACAGCUAAUACAUGGGGCUGGGAUUAAAACUGGCUCAAAUGGGUUCUCCAAUCUGUGGGAUUAUGAAUGACUUUUUCUUCCUGAACAGUGAGAAGAGAGUAGGAGACAGAAGGAAUAGACCAAAAUGUUUAACCGAAAAUUCCAAGUAUUGUAUCUUUCACAAAUUAAUUACUCAGGGUAUGAGUUCCUAACUAUAAACCAAAGGGCAUUAGGUUUUGAAAUACAAGGGGUUAAUCCAAUUUGCUAUGGGAUGGUUAUUCCCCUCAGCACAAUAAUUGCAUUUCAAGAGAAAGAGCUGCUCAUAAGUGUUAAGGGCCUUAUUACUGUUCAAAUGCCCUUUUAAUACUCUUUAUACUGCCAAAAGUACAUUAAAAAUGAAAUUCAAGGGAAGAAUAAUUCAAACUCCUUGGAUGGUGGCAUUUUGUAAACCUCAGAGCUAUAGUACAAAUCUCUCUCAAACCUCUGGAAAUCCAUCUUCAGAGCAUAGAGUAGGUGGGAAGGGGCUUGCAAAUCCUUUUCAAACUGACAGCUCCAAACCUAACUUGUUCUCUGAUUCCUCAUCCAUGACAGGUCAGUAGUGGGUAUUUUUCACUUCAGAAACUAAGGAUAUUUGCUAGAGUAUGGAGGUCCAAGGAACUGGACUUUAAUGCUAGAUUCUGACCAGAGAAGACAAAAGAAAGAGAAUGGAGUAUAUGUAGGCCUCUUCUAGUGAUUCUGUAUGAAAAUAAUAUUUGAUGACAUAAUAUGGUAGGAAUUCCUGUGCUUUUAAAUAUAUCCUCUUGGCAAAUUAUCAACAUCUUGCCUGCUGUGUAUAAAUGUAUUUGCUUCACUUAAUCAACUGUUUCCUUAACUAUUCCUUUUGAAAGAAGUCUAUCUCCAUAAAUUUUGAGGUAGCAAAUAUACUAUCUGCUUCCAAAUAUUACUCUAUCAUGUAUCUACUGAGCCUGAAAUUUCCACCAUAAUGUGUCAUUUAUUCAGUAUUUUUUUUCAUUUAUUAUGUCUGUCCUUCCUUCCAUCUAACUGCCAGUCUGUCCAAAAUAUAUCUCUUCUGCUGGUUUCUAGAAACUCAUUGGUGAUUAAAAUACAUAGGGUCAUUGGCAACCAGCUUAGAAGUAGGAGGCCUAGGGUACUGUGAGGGGAUUGGAUAAUACCUAAGGCCUAACAAGAGGGAAAUGGAGUCAAACAAAGGAAGAAGAGAUAGGGUGUCAUUGACAAAAAUGAAUAAAAAACUAGUCUUCUCUUUAAAUUGGUUUCAAUUCACCCGGAGAAAGAUGAUGAACACUUGAGAAGGACAGGAGGAUAUCAUAAGCAAUACUAAUAGUCAAGUAAAAACUGUGUAUUAUUCUUCAGGAAGAUAAACAAAGAUCAUUAGUGGGAGGAGGCAGGAUGCUUCAAAAUGCUAUGAGGAGGAGAUUUUCAGAACCACCUAAAACAGAGAUUUCCUUUAAAUAUAAUGCUUGUUUCCCUUUGCUUAGAUGAAGUGAUUUUAGAUUUCAUGCAAGUUAAGUACAAAACAAUGAUUACUAAACUGUCUGGAAGGUCAAUAGGUACAUUAAGAUCAUUGAGUUAUAAAUCACUGAGGGAUACAUAGAGCUAGGCAACAACCCAUCUGUGGAUACUAUGUCAAGUCGAGAUACAUAAUGCCAAUUGUCCCCAAUUCUGCUUCCCAUCACUAAAAUGUGACAGUGAUUAAAUGCAAAAUGCACAGUAUUACAGUAUGUAAGUACAAAUUUAAAACAAUAACGGCCUCUUGUCAGAUAAUAUGGAACAGUGAAGUUUCAUGAAAUUUGUUAUUAUAUUUGCAAAUGGAGCAAUAUUUACAAUGGAUUGACACAGAGCUGCAUAACCUGAUACUAGGCAAGGGCAGGAUUAUGAAAGCAGGAAUGGAAAAUUGUGAAUACAGAACAAUCUCUUUAAGGAAUCACAAAGGAACAUACAAAAAGAGAGGGAAAUAGUUUCAAGGUCAGUGUUCCUUAGACAUUUCUGAAGAGCCCCCAUAUUCUCAGUUUUUUUUUUUUUUUAUGAAUCAAGGCAAAGGCCAGGUGACCAGGUUGUUGAGGUUUGCUUCUGGCUUAGCAUUCACAAUCUCAAUUCUAAUUUCUCAGUUGUAUUAUACUUCUUAAAUCUUUCAUUUUUCUGUGAACCAUAAACUCCAUGAAGCCAGAAACAAUGCCUAUCUUGAUCAGUGUUGUUAUCUCUAGCAUGUAACAGUGCCUGGCACAUAGUGCAUGCUCAAAAACUAUUUGAUAUUUGAAUAAAUAGUUGUUCUUUUGUGCACCUUGAAAGCUCUUGUGAUGUUUCUUCCAUACUAAGAAGCUGUCUCUAGCUUCUAUAUCUUUCUAUACCCAAUUAUUCUCUCUAAUACCUAUUUGUAUUAUAUUUUAUUCCCUCAGAGAAUCUCUAGAGAGAGCAGGUUUAACCAAUAAGAUUAAUAGUUUCAGGUACUGCAUUAAUCCAGGUCUAAACAGAAAAAAAGGAAACCAUCUGAAGUGAUUAGAACAGAGCAAUUCAAGGCAGGGAUCUGGUUAUAUAGGUAUAUAUACGUAUAUGUAUAGUUAUGUACUUAAAAAGAUGGGUUUACAUCCUGGAUAAAGAGUAUGUUGAAAGCAGAUCCAUGGAUGCAUACUUCUGAUACCAGCUGAGGCCAUUUAAGGGUUGGAAAUAAUCUUAAAUUUCAUUCAACUCCAGCUCAUCAGAUAGCUGUUGUAUCACAGAGGGCUAUUACUUUUUACUUCAAUACUCUUCUCUUUCUCCUUAUAUACAGAGUGCCUAUUUUCAGAUGGACACAUUUUUAUCCAGCAGAAAAGAUUCUAUUUCCCUGUCUUUCUUAACUUUUAGGCAGUGAUAUGUAAGCAAAGAUGCCAUGUGGUAGGGUACUUCCAGGGAGGCUUCUAAAAGGUAUCACGUGGUACUUCCACAGAGGCUUCUUAAAAAGACAUGUUCAAGAGGGGUCCCAUUCGUUUUGCUGCCUUUCCUCCUCCUUCAGACAUAAAGUAAGAAUGUGAGAGUCAGAACUCCAGAAGACCAUGAGUUGUCCUUAAGGAUGGCAGGCAUUCACAACUAAGAGUUUGGUUUGAGUCUCAAAGGAGACAUUGGAGUUGGAUUUCUCAGCACUCUUGAAACUGUUAAGAUUUUGUUAACUCUUGGAAAUGGACUAAAUGCAGUUUGAUAAAGAGAUGUGCAUGAGUCUUUUGGGAGCCAAGUGAAGAAUGCUAUGGUUUAGAUCAAGAAUGGCCCGAAAACUCACAUAUGCUCAGAUGUAAGGCUUUUAGAAGGUGACAAGAUCAGGUCCUUCCUCCAUGCCAUUUCUGCAUUGGAGCCUGCCAAACAUGGACUAAAACUUCUGAAAAUAUGAGCCAAAGUAAAGCUCUCCUCCUUGAAGUUGUGGAUGUCAGGGUGAAGGGAACAAAUCAGGAUGAAGAAGCUAUGAGGUUCAUCUUAGGAGUCAUAAAAGAACAGCAGGCUCUGGGAUAAACUGGAAAUGUAUGGAAAACAGGAAUGACAACCCUGCAGAUUGAGUGACUGACCCAUGCUGAUGACCCACUGACACAUCCUUAGCCAGCUGGGAUGAAACAUGAGUUGAUUCAGCAGAGAACAGGGAGGGUGAUACAGAGGAAGGAGGAAAACUUCCCCAUGGAGAGAUCAGAGGAGACUUCACAGUGAAGCAAAAUUUGAGUUAGAUUUUGGAAAAACAGGACUUGGAUAUGUGAUUAUGGAGAAGAAUGUUUUCAAACCCAAGGAGGUGCCUGUUGGGUUUUGCAGUCUGUUUUCUGUGAGAGCAGAAGUAGGUCGAGGUGUAUGUUGGGAAGACCUUGUAUUGCUGGCCCAGAAGAUGAGGUGGGGCAGACAGGAGGAAGAGGAGGACAUCGAGGUCAGCAAAGACAGACUUUUCUGGCCUUUUAGUUUUGCUGAGUGCUAUAAUUGCUUCUCUCAUCUCAGAACAUGAUGCAUCUCAUUGUCACAGG
ensembl:lncRNA